rnacentral:rRNA from 1 species
ACACGACUACAUUAGAUACCCGGGUAGUCCCAGCUGUAAACGAUGCAGACUAGGUGUUUGGACGGCCACGUGCCGUUCUAGUGCCGCAGGGAAGCUGUUAAGUCUGCCGCCUGGGGAGUACGAUCGCAAGAUUGAAACUUAAAGGAAUUGGCGGGGGAGCACCACAACGGGUGGAGCCUGCGGUUUAAUUGGACUCAACGCCGGGAAGCUCACCGGAUAAGACAGCGGAAUGAUUGCCGGGCUGAAGACCCUGCAUGACCAGCUG